CGGCUCGCGGUCCCUCUGUAAACCAUUCUGCAUCCCCCGGCCAGGGAGAGUGCAGGGAGACCGCGUUUAGAGGAUCAGCGGCGGCCGCAUCCUCGGUCCGCGGCGCCGCGCCGGCCGGCGGGCAGCGACGUACCGCGUCCUCUCCAGCUCCGGAAGAAAGGAAAGAGCAAGGUGUAGCUGAUUAGCAAGUUAAUUAUUUCAGUACCCCAAGGGUUCCUGUGUGGUGGAGACAGCCCAAGGCACCCAGCCCUGGAGAAAUAACUUCCGGACAGUGUGAAGACGAUUUGCGCCUUGGGGGUAUUGCUAGCUUCCAGUGGUUUCUCAAGCCAGGUGGCUGCUUUCCCUGCUGGCAGAGUGGGGAUCUGCCAACAGCUCUGAUGACACCUUCUAUGCUGGUGGCGGAGGAUUUGGGGAGGGGAGGAGGGUCAAUCACUGUUUUUAGACUUGGUUGUCCUGACCUUGUGAGUCUUAGAGUUUCGGGUAGAGAUGUGCAUCAAUAGACAGGAAUCACUCAGAGAAAAUUGGGCUGUAAGAAGACAGGUAUAGGCCAGGCCAAAAUGAAAUCCGGACUUGGAGAAACAGAUCUGGGUUCAAUGUCCCAUUUGUGUUAUUUGCUCUGGCUCCUGGGAGACGAAGAAAAAUUAAUAAGAGCCAACUGGCCUGGAGAGAUAGUACAGCAGGUAAGGUGCUUGCCUUGCAUGUGGCCAAUCUGGAUUCCAUCCCUGGCAUCCCUUAUGGUUCCCUGAGCACCACCAGGUGUGAUCCUGAAGCACACAGCCAGGAGUAAGCCCUGAGCACAAAAACAAAACAAGUGCCACUUAUCCAGUAUUUGGGGGAACUCUUUCCCCUACCAGAUGGUGGCUGGGGAGCAUCUUUGGGUGGUAUGACUCUCUUUUGGAGUUCCGCCCUGUUUUGAAACUUCAGUCUGGACUUGGAGAUGAAGAUCCCAGCUUGUCUGGCUCUCAGGCUAUUCAUAACUUCUCCCUCAAGGAUGGUGGCAGCACACGUAUUGGAAAGGAAAGCUGGCAGCCUGCCCCUGUGUGCAAAGCUAUUCUCAUUGGGUUCUAGGGAGGGGAGAGCUUUCUCUCUAGUGAUUUUUUUUUAUAAAGCAGAGAACUAUUUCUAUGAAUUUUGUUUUGCAGGAAGAGGGGGUGGUUUGGGCUAGACACAUUUGGGCUCAGGGCUUACUCUGGCUCUGUGCUCAGAGAUCAUUCCUGGCUGUGCUUGAGGAUAAUCUGGUGUGUUUGGAUUGAACCCAGUUGGGAUGUGUUUUUUUUUUUUUUUGGCUUUUUGGGUCACACCUGGCGAUGCACAGGGGUUACUCCUGGCUCUGCACUCAGGAAUUACCCCUGGCCAUGCUCAGGGGACCAUAUGGGAUGCUGGGAUUUGAACCUGGGUUGGCCGCGUGCAAGGCAAACGCCCUACCCGCUGUGCUAUCUCUCCAGCCCCGGGAUGUGUUUUUUUUUUUAACCACACCCAGAAGUCCUUAGGGGUAACACCUGACUCUGCACUCAGGAAUCACACUCCUGGCAGGCUCAGGGGACCAUAUAGGAUGCCGGGAUUGAACCUGAGUAGGCUGCAUGCCUUACCCAAUGUACCAUUUUCUGGCCCUUUCCUUCCUUCUUUCCUUUCUUUCUCUCUCUCAUUUUAAUCUCUUUCUUUCUCUUUCUCCCUCCCUAUCUCCUCCCUCCCUCCCUCCCUCCCUCCCUCCCUCCCUCCCUCCCUCCCUCCCUUCCUUCCUUCCUUCCUUCCUUCCUUCCUUCCUUCCUUCCUUCCUUCCUUCCUUCCUUCCUUCCUUCCUUCCUUCUUUUUUUUCUAUUUCUUUUUGCCAUACAUAGGCUGCUCUUGGCUCAGGGGUCAUUCUCAGUAGUGGUCUGGGGAUCAUAAGAAUCAAACAUGGGCCUCAUCUCUCCAGUCCUUCAGGGUUCUUUACUCAUUCUGAAUGCGUAACUCUGUCCAGUCACUGGAAAAAAGUCUGUAAGAACCUACAGGAACACUUCCUUCAGUUUCCCUCCUGUGGCUUGGGUCUGCCUCCCGCAGACUGGGGAGGAGCAGAGACAUUCCAGAACCAGAUCGUGGAGUGUUGUUAUCUCUUCAAAUCCCCUCUGCUCCAUUUUAUCUGUCUCUACUACAAAUGCAGAGACCUCCUAGGGAAGUGUGAAGGGAUGGGUUUUAAUCAGGUGUGGAGAGGGAGGGAGAAUAAGUUGAGCACAAAGGGGGGGUGGUUGGAAUUUUUGGAAGCUGCUCCUCAGUACCUCCUCUCCUGUGCUGUAUGUUAUGUAGCAUCAAUCAUGUAUUCAUUGCCGUCAUCUACAGUGUCUAUGUGGCAUUUGCCAAAUGUUGCUUGGGCAAAACAGUGUUAAAUAAAAUUGUAAGAAACGCUA